rnacentral:lncRNA from 1 species
GGCUCGCCGCCUUAGAACGGUGACUACAUUUGGAGAUCUGCAGAUGCGUCUUUGACGUCGUGGCAAACCCGGCUUCAGGUUGACCAGUGGCUGGCCGGACAAAUGACUGUGGACAGGAUGGUGCAAACCACAUCCGGGAGGAAUUGUCAGCAAGUUCUCAGCGACUAGAAGCUCAGUUUUCUUCUGGAUGAGGCUGAAACGCCUUCCAGUUUGAACACGAGAGCCCACAAAACUGUACCCUAAGAAGUGAACCAAACAAGACCAGUAAUUCAUUAAGAUCGCACAAGGCAGUCGGAUCCUGCCUCCUGUCCGAGACCGACGGGUGGUGCAACCAACCAGAAACACCCCUGUCUCACCAAUUGUG